GAUGAACGCUGGCGGCGUGCCUAAUACAUGCAAGUCGAACGAACAGAUGAGGAGCUUGCUCCUCUGACGUUAGCGGCGGACGGGUGAGUAACACGUGGAUAACCUACCUAUAAGACUGGGAUAACUUCGGGAAACCGGAGCUAAUACCGGAUAAUAUAUUGAACCGCAUGGUUCAUUAGUGAAAGACGGUUUUGCUGUCACUUAUAGAUGGAUCCGCGCCGCAUUAGCUAGUUGGUAAGGUAACGGCUUACCAAGGCAACGAUGCGUAGCCGACCUGAGAGGGUGAUCGGCCACACUGGAACUGAGACACGGUCCAGACUCCUACGGGAGGCAGCAGUAGGGAAUCUUCCGCAAAGGGCGAAAGCCUGACGGAGCAACGCCGCGUGAGUGAUGAAGGUCUUCGGAUCGUAAAACUCUGUUAUUAGGGAAGAACAAAUGUGUAAGUAACUAUGCACGUCUUGACGGUACCUAAUCAGAAAGCCACGGCUAACUACGUG
rnacentral:rRNA from 1 species